AUUGAACGCUGGCGGCAGGCUUAACACAUGCAAGUCGAGCGAGCGGCGGACGGGUGAGUAAUGUCUGGGAAACUGCCUGAUGGAGGGGGAUAACUACUGGAAACGGUAGCUAAUACCGCAUACCAUCAGAUGUGCCCAGAUGGGAUUAGCUAGUAGGUGGGGUAAUGGCUCACCUAGGCGACGAUCCCUAGCUGGUCUGAGAGGAUGACCAGCCGCACAGGAACAGAGACACGGUGCAGACUCCUAAGGGGGACAGCAGGGGAAAAUAUUGCACAAUGGGCGCAAGCCUGAUGCAGCCAUGCCGCGUGUGUGAAGAAAGCCGUCGGGUUGUAAAGCACUUUCAGCGAGGAGGCGUUACUCGCAGAAGAAGCACCGGCUAACUCCGUGCCAGCAGCCGCGGUAAUAC
rnacentral:rRNA from 1 species